UGUCUUGGAAAUACGAAAUAGAUUUCCAGAAGGACAAAAGUGCUGACUGAUCCUUCCCGUGUUUGAUCUUGGAGAGAAGAUUGAGCAUUGAGGAAAGAGUUGUGCCCACCUCUGAGGGGGAGAAGCAUGGAGAACAUUCACAGAGGAAUAAAUUCUAAUAUUUCUUUUAGCUGUGGAAUGGAAUGACUGUCAAAGGCGCUGCACUGUGUGGAGGGAAGAUACGACUAGAAAUAUGGAAGUAGAGAGCAAAGGAAGAAGAAAGACCUGUGGGAAGUUGGCUCAGCCUAAAGGACAACUGCCUAUUUUCUGCCACAAGUCAUUGAAGUCAAAUAAAUAAAAAGAAGGGAGCGGGGAUGGGGACUACUCCAGAUUUAAAAAGCUUUAAGUGUCAUGAUAAAUAAA